UACGUAGGGUGCAAGCGUUAAUCGGAAUUACUGGGCGUAAAGCGCGCGCAGGCGGUUUCUUAAGUCUGAUGUGAAAGCCCACGGCUCAACCGUGGAGGGUCAUUGGAAACUGGGGAACUUGAGUGCAGAAGAGAAGAGCGGAAUUCCACGUGUAGCGGUGAAAUGCGUAGAGAUGUGGAGGAACACCAGUGGCGAAGGCGGCUCUUUGGUCUGUAACUGACGCUGAGGCGCGAAAGCGUGGGGAGCAAACAGG
rnacentral:rRNA from 1 species